UAUACUUUGUAUCUCCUCUUGCUUCCAAGUUCGGACACUCCCUAGCAAUCCGCUUUUCGCUUUAUUAUGUAUAAAAAGUAAUUCAGACUCUCUUUCCUUUUUCUCUCUCUAGAUCGUUGUAGUGGCAGUCGUCACUCUACUGGAUCGGUUCGCUCUAUUUGUUUACCCGCCCGGAAAAGCAUUUAGCAGUCUGAGAAAAGAGCAUUUGUGCUAAAAUCAUGGGUCUUGAUAAUGCCUUAUCCUCGCCUCAUAGACGAUCACAAGGUCAGAAUGCUUUUGCUUCCUCUUCAUCGCGCAGAAAGUUUUCUCAGAAUGACAUGAGCUGCUCUGCUCUCCUCCAGCGGCACCGCUUCCUUCUAACAGCUCUCGUUCUUCUGGUUGUUCUGUGCACUGUAUACCUUUACUUUGCGGUUACACUGGGGUCAGAAUCAUGUUAUGGCUUACUAGGAACAGAAAGAGAGGUGUGCCUCGCGAAGCAUGGGAAAGAGAGUUUCGGCAAAGGAAAAUUGAAACUGAUCUGAUACUUGAAUUGGUAGUAUGUGUGUUAAUUGCCAAUUAUUUUUGUUAGUGUUAUUAUUUAUGCUAAUGAGCCUUCGGUUUGUGCUAUUUAAUUACAAAAAUUACAUUGUAUACAUGAAUUGCGGAUGAAUAUUCACUUCUAAUUAAUUCUAA